GUUAGUUAUGUCUCUCUGUAUCCUGGUGAACUUGAGUUCGACUCCAGCCAUCCCUUUUUUAACAAUCUUUUUUUUUUGCGAUUCAGGUCUACCAGAGGAGAGAGAAGUAAAACCUUACCACCUGUCUCUCUCCUUCAAAACCCUCUCUCAAGACACACACAGCAGGCCUUUCAGAACACCACAAACAUUAUCGCUUUUCCGAUCAAAACCUUGGUGGCAUUCAUCACGGGAAAGACAAAGUACAUGAGCGGGAGAUGAUGAUUUGUGGUGAUGAGCAACCAGCGACGAUAUAGGCAUAAGAAGAAAGCCCGAGCAUAAGAAAGGGUUUUGGACAAAGAGAGGUGGUGGCUCUAGAGUUCCGGCUGUUGGACCUGGCAACGACCACAACCGACGGUCCCGCGAGCCCAGUGGUGGUAGCGAUUUGGGUUGAUGUACAACGGUGGAAGUGUUCAGGUUUUGACAGAGGAGUGACGACUGCCGUUUGAAGGCUUGGUAUUCCGGCGAGGUGUUUUCCGGUCUAGAUCCCGACAAUAUUCUGGGUUAUUCUAGAACUCCGACCAAAAUCCAGUGAACGACGGUGGUUGUAACGGUGAGUGGCGAAGAUGACACAAAUAUAAUCCUACGAGUAUCAUUCACGAGGUUAUAUAUGACAAAGUUAGUGGAAGAAGCAAAGGUUUUGGCUUUGUUACAAUGUCAUCAGUCGAAGAGAGAAUGCAGGGAGAGUCAGAACCUGAUAGAAAGGGAGAGUGAACUCGGAGACAGAGAGAGGCAGUGACGACUGUUUUUGGGCAGCAACACCGCUUCCAACACGUUUCCGAUCCUCCGCCAUAAUUAAUUGCUAAGAUCGCUCGCUUCGUAGUCGUUCAAGAUUAUCAGUCGGUUUAUCUUCGAUGUUCUCACUUAUCGAUCCCGGUUGUCGUUGCACAGUUUCGGGUCAUUUUUUCCUUUUUCCAUGUUAUUAUUGUUGCUUUUUGUUUGGUUGGCAAUCUUGCUUGCAAGCUUUUUCUCCUGCGUUGUUCGCAGCGUUAGGACAGUUAGGGCUACAAUUUUAGGGGAUUUGUCUUCUACUUUGUUGAUGGAGUUAGGUAAUGGUUUUUUUUUUGUUGCUUUGUUAAUCUUUGGUUUUGGUGAUGUUGUUGAUAGAUUUUGCUUCAAAUGGCUUCAUUUUUCCUCUCAACUUUUGUAAACUCCACAUUCACAGUGUGAAAAAGGAAGCAUUGCAACUAGAGCGAAGCGUCAAUUGGAACUCCACGACUCAGAUCCACCGUCGAAAAGGCCUGGCAAAGGCAGCCUCAUGAACUAAAACCCAGUUAACAGAAGUUCGUCCUUUUGUCCACCAAUAACAAGAACGAACGACGGGUGGGAUGACGGUCAAGACUCAAGAGCUAAUUCCUUUUGUACAGAUGAUGCUGACUGCCUGCUAAUACAUCAGCCUUGUAAAACAUCUAAUUAAUGGUUAAAUGUUAAUCACACCAACAUGUAUGCCUCACCAUAGAAUUUUUUUAUGGUUGUGUUUGUUAACAGCAGCAUCAUAACUUAAUGAUAUUCAGUUGUCGACAUAACCAAA